AACGAACGCUGGCGGCAGGCUUAACACAUGCAAGUCGAACGAGACCUUCGGGUCUAGUGGCGCACGGGUGCGUAACGCGUGGGAACCUGCCCUUAGGUUCGGAAUAACUCCCCGAAAGGGGUGCUAAUACCGGAUAAUGUCUUCGGACCAAAGAUUUAUCGCCUUUGGAUGGGCCCGCGUUGGAUUAGCUAGUUGGUAGGGUAAAAGCCUACCAAGGCGACGAUCCAUAGCUGGUCUGAGAGGAUGAUCAGCCACACUGGGACUGAGACACGGCCCAGACUCCUACGGGAGGCAGCAGUGGGGAAUAUUGGACAAUGGGCGAAAGCCUGAUCCAGCAAUGCCGCGUGAGUGAUGAAGGCCUUAGGGUUGUAAAGCUCUUUUACCCGGGAUGAUAAUGACAGUACCGGGAGAAUAAGCUCCGGCUAACUCCGUG
rnacentral:rRNA from 1 species